rnacentral:lncRNA from 1 species
UUUAUCCUUGAUAUGUUCAACCUAACCGGUGACGAAUAUCCUUCCUAAUGUCCCUAGGCAAGUCUAUCCUUGAUAUGUUCAUCCUAACUGAUGACAAAUUUUCUUUCCUCUGAGUCUAUCCUUGAUAUGUUAAGUUUAACCAGUGACAAAUAUUCUCUCUUUGGUCUUCUGCCCAGUAACCGGUAGUUGUAAACCCUAUUUUGGCUUUU